rnacentral:rRNA from 1 species
ACCCGCUGAACUUAAGCAUAUCAAUAAGCGGAGGAAAAGAAACCAACAGGGAUUGCCCUAGUAACGGCGAGUGAAGCGGCGUCAGCUCAAAUUUGAAAUCUGGCUCUUUUAGAGUCCGAGUUGUAAUUUGCAGAGGGCGCUUUGGCAUAGGCAGCGAUUCAAGUUCCUUGGAACAGGACGUCACAGAGGGUGAGAUCCCCGUACGUGGUCGCCAGCUCUUGCCGUGUAAAGCCCCUUCGACGAGUCGAGUUGUUUGGGAAUGCAGCUCUAAAUGGGAGGUAAAUUUCUUCUAAAGCUAAAUAUUGGCCAGAGACCGAUAGCGCACAAGUAGAGUGAUCGAAAGAUGAAAAGUACUUUGGAAAGAGAGUCAAAAAGCACGUGAAAUUGUUGAAAGGGAAGCGCUUGCAGCCAGACUUGCCUGUAGUUGCUCAUCCGGGCUCUUGCCCGGUGCACUCUUCUGUAGGCAGGCCAGCGUCAGUUUGGGCGGUUGGAUAAAGGUCUCUGUCAUGUACCUCUCUUCGGGGAGGCCUUAUAGGGGAGGCGACAUACAACCAGCCUGGACUGAGGUCCGCGCAUUCGUGCUAGGAUGCUGGCGUAAUGGCUGUAAGCGGCCCGUCUUGAAACACGG